GGACACAGCCUGUCACUUUAAGCUUGUCUUGUCUUCUUUAAUGUUAAUGUUCGAUCAUAGAUUUAAAAAAAAAAAAAAAACUCUCGACUGCUUGUUGAUCUUACACUCUGUCUUUUAACAUAAAAUUUCGUAGCAAAUUGGGUGAUGAGAACGCUGAGCCGAAGAGCCAGUACUCUGAACUCAACAGCAGAUUCCAUGAGUUAGAAAUUGAAUAUCGCAGUCUAGAAAACGAACGUGAAGAGUUGGCUUUCACAUACAAAGAAAUUCAGAGGCUGCUCGCAAAGCCGAAGAACAUCGCGUUCAACGCAUGUAAUUGCAUCAGCUAAGAUGAACCAAGCCAUCUCGAUAUGGAACACCGACUUACCGAUAAGGAGGAAGAGCUCGAGUCUAUCAAGAAGCAAAUGUCGGCAAAUGUCUAUAUCGAAAUCGACCAGUUGAACUCUCGUCUUGUCCAUGCGGAAACCAAGUUGAAAACCGAAAUUCAGCGCAUCCGGAAGAAGAUGAUGAUCACAAUCACCGAGUUGGAAAUGACAUCCGACG